rnacentral:hammerhead_ribozyme from 1 species
GCACUGAUGAAGAGUCCCAUACUAGGACGAAACGGCCGUCCAGUGU